rnacentral:lncRNA from 10 species
AAAGCUAGAGAUAGCAGUUAUAGAUAACUACAAAACUAUAAAAAUGAUCAGAGAAAUGGGGCUGCAGCUUGAGACAGAUGUGUGUCAAGCACGUGUUUCUUGUCUGGACUAGGAAAUGUUAUCGCAUAUUCAUAUGCUGAUUGAAAUUCCUCUAGAGGAGAAAGAAUCUCUAUGACGAAUAGAGAGGGGAACUAUUGCAGAAGCAAAGUCCUUGAGAAGGCAGGAAGCCUAGAAUUCAGAUCCGAAGUAGAAGAAUUGGCCUUCAACAGGAAGAUGACCAUGGGCAUGGAUUGACAAACAUAGUAGAUGCUUGCAGCCACUCAAUGACAUCACAUAGCUGUCUGAGGCUCUAGAAGGUGCUCUGCUGCUAAAAGGAGCAUUAUAAAGAGUGUUUGAAUACCUCCAUGGGAACAGAAAAGCAAUGUGUGUGGAAGGAUAUUCAACAAUGUGUUGUUGGAAGACCAAGUGCAUUUUGCUGAAAACCUCCAUAACAAGAACAGAGACUUGGAAGAAGAGAUUCAAAGAGGAUAAAUAUAUAUUAAAUAGAUUCAACUGCUUAUUUGGGAAGAUCUUUACUAUACUAGAUACUGUUUUACUUUGUCUUAACAUAUGUAUUACACUGAUUCAACUUCUUAUCAUAAAUGGAAUAUGGUUGUUUUUUCUGUCAAUAAAUAGAUCCAUGCUUCAUAUUAAGGGAAUGAACUUUGAAGUCAGACAAACCUGGGUUUAUAUCCUUGUACUACCAAUUAUUAAUUCUGUUAUUUGGGACAAUGUGCUUAAACAUUCUAAAUCUCAGUUUCCUUUUCAAAUCAAUAAUAGUAACUACUUCAUAGAGUUACACUAAAGAUUCAACAAGAUAAUCUAUAGAAAGUACUUAGCACAUAUUUGAACCAUGAUAAGUACUACAUAAAUGAUAGCUACUAUCGGAGACCUAUAGCAAUCCCUUUUGAAAGAGUUCUUUCACACAAUAAUUCCAUUUGAAGCCUUUUGAUUAACAUAUAACAAUGCUCGGCUUACGUUUCUGCAGUUUAUUGUUAAAUGAUCACCACAUUUCUUAUUCACUAUGAUUUUCUGGUCAACAUAUGAGGAUUCCAAUUAGCAGUUACAACGAACCUGUAAGUUCCCAGAAUUACUGAAAAUGUUUUAUUCGUAAGCAAAAUGUUUGCAGUGAGCCUUUUAGUUUUGUGUUACCAGCUUUAGCACUAAAUACUUUGCAAGCAACGCAUGUAAAGGCUGUGAGCAACCAACUAAGAAAUCACACAAGUUGCUAUAGGAUCAUCCCAGUGCAUGUAACCAGCUCCUAUCAUAUUUGUCUCAUAUAUUUACAAAGCUGUUUCUUCCCCUUAGUAGUUCCUAGGCAUGCCUCGAUUAAUCACUAAAGGAGUCAUUAGGUAACAUCUGCCAUAAAAAUGCUCCCCAGAUGAUCAAAUAGCAAAACUAUAAAAUGCCAUAGAGCAGACACUGGGCCUUCAAAAACCUAAGAUUCAAGGCUUUAACUCUCAAGAAACUUCUAAUAUCUUUGACAUGACGCAACCUGUGAUUUUUCUACAGCACAGAUUUGCUCACUCUGAUACUCUUUGAGUAUGAUAUGUAGGAAUGAGUGGCUUAACUAGCAAGGUGAGCCUCACAGUAAUGUCAGCAUCCUUUAGUGUUCUCUCUCCAUCUUCAUGCAUAUAUAUUGUUUUUAUGUAGAUGUCCAUUUACUGACAAUUGUGUAAUAUACAAUGUAUACUCGCCUAUAAGUAUAGCUGAGACAUUUCUUGCUCAUCUCAAUAGAAAUGCACCUCUCAUAUGUAACAAAAUCAGUAUAGCUCAAGCUAGGACUACUUACACAAAUAGGUAGGACUGAAUGUAACAUGUUAUAGGGUUUUUUUUAAAAAAAACCUUUUAGACAUAAUUUUGAAAAUCAAUUUGUCCAGAUAUUAUACUGUCAAUGAGAUAUUCUAAUAUAAUAUCUAAUAUAAUGUGUCAAUGAGAUAUUCUAAUAUAAUAUAUGAGUCUGAGUUACUUUGUGGCUCUAUUCUGCAAUGUCAUAAGAAAUGCUGACCCUUUUCUAUCAUGAUGCUUUGCUAGUCCUAGGCAGUUGACUUCAUUUGAAUGGUCCAGUAGACUCACCACUAGAUCCCCAUCCCUGCCAACAGGGAGGGGGUAAGGAAGAAGAAGACAACAUGCCUCAUCUCCUUAGACCUAGAAAUUGCACACAUUUUUAUAUCUCUUUACGUCUCACUCACCAGAACUUAGUUACAUGGUCACUCAGCCCGCAGGGGAGGCUGGAAACAUCAUCUUAACUAUUACAAUGAAAAAUGUGAAGAUAUCAAGGGACAACCACAGUGUCUGCUACUCAGCAUGACUGUAAUUUUAAAUGUGAAGAGAUAAAUGUCACUCAAAAUAAAUGCAUUUUAAAGGUAUUUCG